rnacentral:rRNA from 1 species
GAUGAACGCUGGCGGCGUGCUUAACACAUGCAAGUCGAACGGAAAGGCCCAAGCUUGCUUGGGUACUCGAGUGGCGAACGGGUGAGUAACACGUGGGUGAUCUGCCCUGCACUUCGGGAUAAGCCUGGGAAACUGGGUCUAAUACCGGAUAGGACCACUUCUUGGAUGUUGUGGUGGAAAGUUUUUUCGGUGUGGGAUGAGCUCGCGGCCUAUCAGCUUGUUGGUGGGGUAAUGGCCUACCAAGGCGUCGACGGGUAGCCGGCCUGAGAGGGUGUACGGCCACAUUGGGACUGAGAUACGGCCCAGACUCCUACGGGAGGCAGCAGUGGGGAAUAUUGCACAAUGGGCGCAAGCCUGAUGAAGCGACGCCGCGUGGGGGAUGACGGCCUUCGGGUUGUAAACUCCUUUCGCUAGGGACGAAGCGUUUUGUGACGGUACCUGGAGAAGAAGCACCGGCUAACUACGUG